rnacentral:rRNA from 1 species
CCUACGGGAGGCAGCAGUGGGGAAUAUUGCACAAUGGGGGAAACCCUGAUGCAGCGACGCCGCGUGAGUGAAGAAGUAUUUCGGUAUGUAAAGCUCUAUCAGCAGGGAAGAAAUAGCGACCUUUGGGUCGCCAGACGGUACCUGACUAAGAAGCCCCGGCUAACUACGUGCCAGCAGCCGCGGUAAUACGUAGGGGGCAAGUGUUAUCCGGAUUUACUGGGUGUAAAGGGAGCGUAGACGGCAGCACAAGUCUGAAGUGAAAUGCCGGGGCUUAACCCCGGAACUGCUUUGGAAACUGUGCAGCUAGAGUGCAGGAGAGGUAAGUGGAAUUCCUGGUGUAGCGGUGAAAUGCGUAGAUAUCAGGAGGAACACCGGUGGCGAAGGCGGCUUACUGGACCAUAACUGACGUUGAGGCUCGAAAGCGUGGGGAGCGAACAGGAUUAGAUACCCUUGUAGUC